rnacentral:lncRNA from 1 species
AAACAUUGCUUCAACCCGCCCCGCACCAGUACUGCCCCGCAUUACCUUAGACCCACACCGCCCCAUUUUCCAUCCCUAUCUACAAUUGACUGGAAUUACCUGCAAUUAGUCUACCAGAUGUCCUUCGGGUAUCUCUAAUCUUGAUCUCUUGUCGAAAACAGUAUAAACUACUUAAAGGAGGGGGAAAAACUUGCUUUGACAUAACCAUUUGUAAUAAAAUGUUAAUUUUCCUAAAGCGAUAAGAGAAAGCGAUUAACCCAUUAGCGAAAUAGCGAUGUCAAAUUAGCAUACCCACUCUGCUUGUACACACACCUUCCCAUGGUCUAUCUCUAGGCUGCAGAGCUCCAGCUAAAAAGGUCACAUUUUUACGUGAAAGGUUCAUUAGGAAUCAGUUCUGCAGCCAUCCAUACAGAAGUGCCAACUGAUGUAGAAUCUCUCAUAAGUGCAUCUGUCAUUAUUCUUGAAAGCCCAAAAUUACAUAUACGAGGCAUUGAGAUCAUGUCACUAACUUUAUCCGAUGUGUGGACAUAAUCAUCUUAGUUGCCAAGAAAAAAGGAUCAGACUUCUAAGUAAAUAACAUUGAGGCAUGGCUUUGCAGAGCUUCUAAAUGGUUCUGAAAUCAAUAGCCACAGGCCCACAGAUGAAGAACUACUUUUAAUUUGUUUGGUCGAAGGCUUAGCAGCAUCAAAGAUUCUUUCAAGAUUUGAGUGAUUGUUCUCUUUUUCUUCUUCUUUUUUUGUUUUUAUUUAAAGUUCUUUUGUAUUGUUUUCAUGUCCUAGGUUACUUCAACCUCAUCCAGUUACAUUUGUGUUCAGCAUUUUCCGAUAUCUAGGUUAUAAGUGUCAAAUGCAGUGAACAUAUAUGCAAAGAGAGAAGAGAUCGUAUGAGAAUGGAGAGAAAAAGAGAAAUGGAGAUUUACAGAAGCUUUUCAUUACGAAACUCUACUGAUACAAAUGAGUGUUGUAUGUAUUUUAUACUCCUCUAACCGACUAACUCUAGUUACAUAUGCUAAACUAUGAUUAAGUUAGUACAUCCUUUACACCCCCCUCAAGCUAGGAGGUAUGAAGAUAUUCUUCAUUCCUAGCUUGGAGAUCAUAUAGUCAUGUUGCACUUUUCCAAGUCCAUUGGUGAGGAUAUCUGCUUGUUGUUCUGCUGAAGAAAGAUAGAUGGUUCUGACGAGGCCUUGCUUGAUCUUCUCACGGAUGAAAUGGCAGUCGAUGUCAAUAUGUUUGGUCCGCUCAUGAAACACAGGAUUGGCAGCAAUUUGAAUAGCUGAUUUGCUAUCACAAUAUAGUGGAAUAGAAGUAUGUGCUGCAACCCCCAACUCCUUAAACAAUCCCAGGAGCCAAAUGACCUGUGCCACAGUAGAUGCUAAGCUGCGAUACUCUGCUUCAGCAGAACUCCUAGAGAUGGUCGAUUGCUUCUUGAACUUCCAAUAAAUAAGGGAAUCACCAAAUUUGACAAGGUAGCCAGUAACUGACUUCCUAGUAUUGGGAUAGGAUGCCCAAUCAGCAUCACAAAAGGCAGACAAAGACUGAACAUUCAGCCUUCAGUAAUAUUCCCAACCCAGGGCAAGACUUAAGAUACCUAACUACACGCAAUGCAGCCUCCAUGUGAGAAACCUUGGGGCAAUGCAUAAACUGACUUAGGCUUUGCCCAGCAAAGGAAAUGUCUGGCCUAGUAGCAGUAAGGUAUAACAGCCUCCCAAGUAGUCGUUGAUAGGGCCCUGGAUCAACCAAAAUCUUAUCUGUAGUAUCCCCUACAUGUGCAUCAAACUCAACAAUGGUGAGCUUUAGAUUGGUCUCCAAUGGGAAACCCACAGGCUUAGAGCCUGAUAAACCUGUAUCUGCAAUCAGGUCAAGAGUGUACUUCCUCUGGUGCAUGAGGAUACCUUCCUUGCUCCUAGCAAAUUCAAUGCCCAAGAAGAAGCGAAGUUCACCAAGAUCCUUAAUUUUGAAUCUUUGUUGAAGAGUAGAUUUAGUAUCUUGAAUCAGCUGAAUAUCAUCACCUGUGAUGAGAAUAUCAUCCACAUAUACCAAUACAACCACUAUCCUUCCUCCAUAUCUUUUAGUGGAGAGAGAGUAGUCUAGGUGACUUUGUGUGAACCCAAAAUCAACUAGAGGAGUAGAUAGUUUAAGAUUCUACUGUCUAGAGGCCUGUUUAAGGCCAUAAAGUGAUUUGUGCAGCUUGCAAACUAGAGACCUAUCCCCCGUUCUACUGAACCCUUGUGGUAUUUGCAUGUAUACUUCCUCAUCCAAAUCCCCUUGUAGGAACGCAUUAUAAAUAUCCAUUUGAAAUAUUUUCCAUUAUCUAGAAGCAGCCAAGGAGAUCACACUUCUCACAGUGACCAUCUUGACCACUAGGGAGAAAGUCUCCUGAUAAUCCAAGCCUUCUUGCUGAUUAAACCCCUUAGCUACAAGCCUAGCCUUGAACCUUUCAAUUUCACCAUUUGCCUUAUAUUUAAUCUUGUAGAUCCACUUGCAGCCGAUAGCUUUCUUUCCUUUAGGUAGGGUCAUUAUCUCCCAAGUUUCAUUGUCUUCCAAUGCCUUGAUUUCAUCCUUCAUUAUGGUUACCCAUCUGGAAUCUUUAGCUGCCUCAGAGUAUGAUCUUAGCUCCUUCUCUGUGGAGAUCUUUGACAAGAAACUGUGGUAUUGAGAAGAAACAACAGAGUAGCUAAUGAAAUCAGAUAUAGGAUACCUGCAGCUAUGAGCUCCAGUUCCCUUUUCUUUAGUGACAUAGUCUUGAAGCCAAACAGGUGGUUUUGAUGUCCUAGUGGAUUUCCGAACAUCUGUUUCUUAAGAAGGAAUAGUUGGCAGUUGUAUUGAGGAAUCAACAACUGGCCAGGCCUGUGAAUCUGCAGUAGAAUUCCCAUAUGCAGGUGCAACCUGCUCCUGCAUCAUCUCCUCAAUUCCAAGAUCAGUAGGCACAGGAACAUGAGGACUGUUGGGGCUUUCUUGCGACCCUUCUGCACUGAUGUGAUAUGUGGGAGUGUGGACAAGAGGAGUGCUUGGAAUUGCAACAGUUGUAGGUGCUUCCUCCACUAUGUCAUACCUAGGAACAACGACUAUAUCAAGGAAUAAUUGCUCAGAUGUGUAAGAAGAUUCCUUAAAGGGAAAGACAUCUUCAUGAAAUGUCACAUCUCUGCUCACAAAGGGAACCCCAUUUUCAAGGUCUAACAGCUUGUAACCUUUCUGCAAUGGUGCAUAACCAAGUAGCACUAACCUCACAGCUCUAGGACUAAACUUAUCUGUAGUAGUCAGAUUAGUAGCAAAGCAUAGACAGCCUAUGACUCGCAAAUGACUCAAAGAGGCUUGCUUGUGAUACAGCAUCUCAUGAGGGCUAUUGUUGUGCAACACUGUAGAUGGCACCCUGUUAAUUAUGUAUACUGCAGAUUGAACACAAUGACCCCAAAAUAUUGCUGGUAAGUGUCCCUGAAAUUUGAUAGCUCGGGCAGUCUCUAAAAUAUGUCGAUGUCUCCUUUCAACCACUCCAUUCUGUUGUGGAGUGUAAGGGCAAGAGCUUUGAUGUAGAAUCCCCUGUGAUUGAAAAAAUCUUUGCAAGUGUUGUUAAAGAAUUCACCACCAUUGUCGGAUCUGAACAUCUUAAUUGUUUUACUGAAUUGAGCAUGAAUCAUAGUUAUAAAAUCUCUGAGUAGUACAGGAACAUUAGAUUUGAACUUCAUUAACAAUAUCCAAGUCCAUUUAGUACAAUCAUCAACUAGUGUAAGAAAGAACCUCAUGCCAUUCACAGUAGUUGUCCUAUAAGGACCCCACACAUCCAUAUGAAUCAAAUCAAAGCUUUCUAGACAUCCAGUAGAACUACUAGGAAAGGGAAGUCUUGUUUGCCUAGCAAGAGGGCAGAUUACACACUUAUGUGGCAAGUCUAUGUGAGAACUAAUGGUAUUUCUAAGACUUGUUAUUUUCUUCAGCACUGCUACAGGAACAUGUCCCAUUCUCUUAUGCCAUAAUGCUGCAGAUUCUCCUCUGUUAUUCCUUGUUGAGACUGCAAAAGAUUGUGGAAUCCCCUGUCUCUUAUUCUAUGACAUGGAAUGUAAAUGGUAUAGCCCAUCUAGCUCUCUACCAAUCUCCUUCACCUUCCCAGAUAAGAGAUCCUGAAACAUAAAAAAUGUUGGAAAGAAUAUUGCACUACAAUUCAUCUCUUUUGUCAAUUUUGAAAUUGACAAGAGAUUAAAUCUGAAUGCAGGAACACACAGAACAUUCUUAAGCACAUCACCUCCUGUGAGUUGAUGGUUGUCCACAUGAGUGACUGUUGUAGAAUCCCCAGUUAGUAAUUGAACUUGCCCUACAUUAUCUGUUGACAUAUUAUUAUUCAAUAAAGCCUUAUCUCCAGUCAUAUGAUUAGUAGCACCAGUGUCUACAAUUCACUUAGAACUCUUUGUGUCAUUGCAAGUAUAAUUACCUGCCAUGUUUGCACAAGCUUCAUAGUUACUUGCCAUGUUUGCACUGACAUUGGUGUCACUAAAACUAUUUUUCUGCAGCAAAUGUAGAAGUUAUGUAUAUUGUUCUUGAGUAAACAUUGGAGAGGAGAUGCCUGAACUGUUCCCCUGCCAAGUACUCCCAUGUGCACAGGUCAUACCAGAUGCAUCAUGCUGAGGAAAGUGUGGUCCCCCUCCUUUCAUUUGUACUACAUUAGCUCUACGUUUCCCUUUAAAAUCAGAGGGAUAUCCCACAAUCUUGUAACAAGCUUCUCUUACAUGCCCCGGCUUGUUGCAAAAAUCAUACUUCAUCAAUUUGUAACAUUGAUCUUUGGUGUGUCCCUUCAGAUGACAGUAGUCACAUUGUAAAUUAUAAUUCCUUUUUGAUUUUUGACUAGAUUGAGCGAUGAACAUUGUUGUGGGAUCUAUGUUGUUCCCACCUCCAUAGUUAUUGCUAGAUAUAAUCAGCUUGCACUACCAUAGGGUACGCUUGGUUAAUACUGGGCACAUUUGGCAUCAUCAAUAUUUGUCCCCUAGCUUGCUCAAAUGUAUCGUUUAAUCCCAUUAAAAAUUACAACAAUCGCUGAAAUUCAAUUUGUUCUACAUAAUCUUUUACAGGCUAGGUGGCAGUAUAGAGUCAUACUCUGCCCAUAAAUUCUUGAGUUUGGUAAAGUAAACAGAGACUGAGGAGAUACCUUGAGUUAAUGUGAAUAUCUCCUUAUGCAAGUAAUACAGUCGUGAGGUAUCCACCUUGUCAAAACGUUCUCUAAGCUCUGACCAGACAUCCUGUGCAUUAGACGAGAAGAGGACUCCGGUUACUAAGUCCUUACUGACACUGCUUAUUAGCUAGGAGGUGACUAUCGCAUUGUAGCGAUCCCAUUGCUUAGCCAAAUCUGCACCAAAAUCACUCUUACUUGUUGUACCAUUGACAAGGCACAAUUUGUUUUUCCCUAACAGUGCAAUCUUCAUCGCCCUACACCACAGUGUGUAGUUCUCCAUUCCUGUUAGUAGCAGUCCCACAUUCAUCGAACCAUGCCCAUCGGAAGGGUGCAAAUACAACGGAUGACUGUGGUCGAGAACCACCGUACCGCCAGCUCCGCCACUAGAGGUGCCACUACUAAUACUGCUCGAAUUCUCCAGAAUCGUCAUGUUAAAUGAAUAAUUAGAUGUAAAAUGAACAGGAUCUGUGUAAUUUCAGUUCAAUUCCUGCGAAAAAUUCCGAAAUUAGGGUUCUAGAAUAUCAAAAAAUUGCCGAUUAUCAGAACAAAUUUGUGCAAACUCUCUCGAUUUCCCUUUGAAUUGCACAAGAAAAUCCCUAGAAUUGCACAGAGAAUUGCUCUGAUACCAUGUCAAAUGCAGUGAACAAAUAUGCAAAGAGAGAAGAGAUUGUAUUAGAAGGAAGAGAGAAAUGGAGAUUUGCAUAAGCUUUUC